rnacentral:rRNA from 1 species
GACGAACGCUGGCGGCGUGCCUAAUACAUGCAAGUCGAACGCAGUGGGGACGGGUGAGUAACCCGUGGGUAACCUCCCAUCAGAGGGGAUAACACUUGGAAACAGGUGCUAAACCGAUACUGAUGGAUGGACCCGCGGUGCAUUAGCUAGUUGGUGAGGUAACGGCUCACCAAGGACACGAUGCAUAGCAGACCUGAGAUGGUGAUCGGCAACACGGUGACUGAGACACGGCCCAGACUCCUACGGGAGGCAGUAGGAGGGAAUGUGCGGCGAGGGACGAAAGUCUGACCGAGCAACGCCGGGUGAGUGAAGAAGGUUUUCGGAUCGUAAAACUCUGUUGUUAGAGAAGCGGUAUCUAACCAGAAAGCCACGGCUAACUACGUGCCAGCAGCCGCGGGAUUC